rnacentral:rRNA from 1 species
UACGUAGGGUGCAAGCGUUGUCCGGAAUUAUUGGGCGUAAAGAGCUUGUAGGCGGUUUGUCGCGUCUGCUGUGAAAUUUCGGGGCUCAACCCCGAACUUGCAGUGGGUACGGGCAGACUAGAGUGUGGUAGGGGAGACUGGAAUUCCUGGUGUAGCGGUGAAAUGCGCAGAUAUCAGGAGGAACACCGAUGGCGAAGGCAGGUCUCUGGGCCAUAACUGACGCUGAGGAGCGAAAGUGUGGGGAGCGAACAGG